rnacentral:rRNA from 1 species
UGCAAGUCGAACGGUAGCACAGAGAGCUUGCUCUCGGGUGACGAGUGGCGGACGGGUGAGUAAUGUCUGGGAAACUGCCUGAUGGAGGGGGAUAACUACUGGAAACGGUAGCUAAUACCGCAUAACGUCGCAAGACCAAAGAGGGGGACCUUCGGGCCUCUUGCCAUCAGAUGUGCCCAGAUGGGAUUAGCUAGUAGGUGGGGUAACGGCUCACCUAGGCGACGAUCCCUAGCUGGUCUGAGAGGAUGACCAGCCACACUGGAACUGAGACACGGUCCAGACUCCUACGGGAGGCAGCAGUGGGGAAUAUUGCACAAUGGGCGCAAGCCUGAUGCAGCCAUGCCGCGUGUAUGAAGAAGGCCUUCGGGUUGUAAAGUACUUUCAGCGGGGAGGAAGGUGUUGUGGUUAAUAACCACAGCAAUUGACGUUACCCGCAGAAGAAGCACCGGCUAACUCCGUGCCAGCAGCCGCGGUAAUACGGAGGGUGCAAGCGUUAAUCGGAAUUACUGGGCGUAAAGCGCACGCAGGCGGUCUGUCAAGUCGGAUGUGAAAUCCCCGGGCUCAACCUGGGAACUGCAUUCGAAACUGGCAGGCUAGAGUCUUGUAGAGGGGGGUAGAAUUCCAGGUGUAGCGGUGAAAUGCGUAGAGAUCUGGAGGAAUACCGGUGGCGAAGGCG